CGAUCCGUUCCAUCUGCUAAUGACUUAGGUCAACGGGUUUUUAAAGAAGAUAUAAGCAAUGCUGAAUGUUCUAAAAAUAGAAAGCACAGAUGUUCUAUGCAGUCAGGAAAAAAAGAUCCUGAACAGAACAGCUGGUUCUGGCAGCACCCAGAGGAGAACAGUGGGAGCAGAGCAAAACAGUGGACACUUCUAGAAAUAGCCUCACUGAUUUCUGGCUGCUACAUAUCCAGUCACUAUGCAUGUCAGUGGAGAAAGCCUGAGGACGAAGCUUCAGGGACUGGAGUGAACUGCAGCCUGGACUCUGGCCACCAGCAGCUCCACCCUACUGUGAAGGCCACUGAGGCAUGGAAUGAGAAAGAGAGACGAAGAAUCUCCCCAGCAGCGCUUCUUCCAAAAUGUGGAUCCACAGGUCAUUGAAUACCUCUCUGGUUUUCUCCCUGGGCCAUUCCGUCAGGCUCUUCGGGCUGGGCCAACACGCUCUGGGAUAAUUUAAUGAUGACUCAGUUCAUUUUGACCUCUGAGGCUGUCUCCACAGAAGAGAAGAAGCAUUUACACACAAUAUUCCUUCAAUAUUAUUUUUUCCUAGUCUUGGCUGAUUAUUAGAUGGCUCCUUUCUUUUCUGGCCACAUUUGGAGCCCUUCAAUGUGGGGCCUGUCAGAUGCUGGUUUUCGGUGGACUUUAUUAAUUGUGAUCCCCUCAGGAGCAUUCUGAAUGAGUUAUAUACAUAAAUCAGUGGGUCCAGUUCCUGAAAUGUAGUGAGAAAUAAAUGAAAUUCUAGCUACUUAUUAUUCUCA
rnacentral:lncRNA from 1 species